UUUAAAAAAACCAACUUAUUUUAACGUAUAAUUUGCACCAACACUUCUGUUUGAUAAUUCCUACUAGCCGGAGAUCGGAGAACAAUGAAUAGCUUAUUUUUUUUCUCCGGUGGAUUGAGUUCCGCCCCAAUUAAUAGCUGCAAAGAAGAGCCAUAUCUGCGAUCUGGAAGCAUUUCCUGAUUGAAAAUCCAUUAGGUUUUUCAAUGGUUUGUGCAAGAAUGGACAUGCUGAAGAAGCUCUGGUGUUUCUUCAAGAACUGGAAAGGAAGAAUGUUGGCCUAAGCUGUUCAUGUAUGAUGUUGUUAUUUCUGGAUUGUGCAAAAAAGGCAAGCUCGAUAUUCCUCAAGAUAUAUUCAAUAAUUGUGUUUUGAUGGUUUACAUGUCAACGUGAGGUCAUACAAUACAAUGAUAAAUGGCCUAUGCCAGGAGGGUUUGCUAGACGAAGCAAAAGACUUGAUGAGGAAAAUGGAACAAAAUGGUCUUUCACCCGAAAUUUUUUGUUUGUGAUUUUAUUUUGCAAGGAUUUCUUAAAGGGAUAAGUUACAUGAGGUAUUUCCACUUCGGCAGGAAAUGGUUGAUAAGGGUUUCUCUUCUAAUGCACAUACAUUUCAGCUGCUGAUAAAUGUACCUUCAGCUGAAUGUACUCUACUCGACAUGAUCCAGAGAUUAAGACCCAACGAUUGUAAGUGAUUUUGUUCUAAAUUUUGGUAAGGGAACAGGAUGCAGAAGCCACCUGGUUACUGGUUAGAGUUAUGCAGGUAGUAAGGUAGGGAUUCAUUAUUCAUGUAUUAGUUAUCCUAUUUUAUUACCCUGCAUUAUAUGAUAAAAUAAAUUUACUCAUAAAUUAUACAUGUGGGAUUGUAACAAUAAUAACCAAACACCGUACCUGGUGUGCUGAAUUCUAUACAAAGCAACUAAAACCUACCAAAUAUGGUAUUGA